GAUCUCAGCUCAAGCAAGACUACCCGCUGAAUUUAAGCAUAUUAAUAAGCGGAGGAAAAGAAAAUAACAAUGAUUCCCUCAGUAACGGCGAGUGAAGCGGGAAGAGCUCAAAUUUUAAAGCUACAUGGUUUCCAUGUCGCGUUGUAAAUUCAAGAAACGUUUUCUCAUACAGCCCCGGUUUAAGUUCGCUGGAAUGCGAUAUCAUAGAGGGUGAGAAUCCCGUCUGUGACUGGGUGUCUGUGUGUCUAC
rnacentral:rRNA from 1 species